AUCCUUUCUCCAUUUCCUCCAAGUUAGAGAGAAUUUGUCUCUUCAGACUUGCCACACUAUAGAACAAAUAAACAUCUCAGUCAAGAUAAGGAGGCUAUUUGAAGGCUUGGACCAUAACCUGCCACUCAACCCAGACUGUCAGCACCAUAACAGUGGCAUCACAAUAUAGCAGGAAGCCCUGGAUCCUGAAACCAGCCGUGAAAAUGUUCCAGUCCUUGCCAAAUGCAGUGUUUACUGAAAAGAGGCCAACAUUUACCACUGAAAAGAUAACA
rnacentral:lncRNA from 1 species